AUUGAACGCUGGCGGCAUGCCUUACACAUGCAAGUCGAACGGCAGCGGGCCCUUCGGGGUGCCGGCGAGUGGCGAACGGGUGAGUAAUGCAUCGGAACGUACCCGGGAGAGGGGGAUAACCGGCCGAAAGGCUGGCUAAUACCGCAUGAACUCGGAAGAGCAAAGCGGGGGACCUUCGGGCCUCGCGCUCUCGGAUGGGCCGAGGUCCGAUUAGGCUAGUUGGUGGGGUAAAGGCCCACCAAGGCGACGAUCGGUAGCGGGUCUGAGAGGAGGAUCCGCCACACUGGAACUGAGACACGGCCCAGACUCCUACGGGAGGCAGCAGUGGGGAAUCUUGGACAAUGGGCGCAAGCCUGAUCCAGCAAUGCCGCGUGGGUGAAGAAGGCCUUCGGGUUGUAAAGCCCUUUCAGCGGGGAAGAAAGCGGGCAGGCGAAUAGUCUGGCUGGUUGACGGUACCCGCAGAAGAAGCACCGGCUAACUACGUG
rnacentral:rRNA from 1 species